rnacentral:rRNA from 1 species
UACGUAGGGGGCGAGCGUUGUCCGGAUUUAUUGGGCGUAAAGAGCUCGUAGGCGGUUCGAUAAGUCGGACGUGAAAUCUCCACGCUCAACGUGGAGGGGGCGUUCGAUACUGUCGUGACUCGAGUCCGGUAGGGGAGUGUGGAAUUCCCGGUGUAGCGGUGAAAUGCGCAGAGAUCGGGAGGAACACCCGUAGCGAAGGCGGCACUCUGGGCCGGUACUGACGCUGAGGCACGAAGGUCAGGGGAGCAAACGGG